rnacentral:lncRNA from 1 species
UCUUUGAGACAAGCAUAUGCUACUGGCAGGAUCAACCAGGUAGGGGCGCGAGCACGAGGAGCCGGGCGUGCCGGGAAAGCGGGGCGGGGCGGAGAGGCCACGGGCGCGGCACGCGCGCCGGAAGACCCGCGAGGCGAGGGAGCCAGGGGGGAGGGGGGGUGGCGGGAGGGCGCUCGCCCGGCCGGGAGACCCGGCCGCGCCCCCCGUCCCGCGCCGCGGCAGGGACGCCCGAUCGCGCGCACGCUCUCGGUCCACGAGGGUCGCAGCGCACCGCCGCCACCGCGCGGAGGGCCGAGGAGGGGGAGGGAGAGGGCGGCGGAGCCCCCUCUCCCUCCACCCCCGCACCCGCCCCCCCCCACCGCGAGCCCGCCCGCCCCGGGGGGGACUCCACCACGGCCAAGGCCACACCGCGGACGGCCGACGCGCGCCCCGGCGUCCGGCCAUCACACCCGCCCCAGAGGGGCGGGGGACGCCGGCCGGCGAGGACACGGCGACCGGCCCGCGGUGGGCAAGACCGGGGACCCGACCCGCGCUCGGGCGAGCGCACCGGAGCGGGGGGCCGCGGCGGGGCGGGGGAGGGGGGAAGAUCACGGGAGCUCCCCCUCGUCCAGCACGCGACGGCGGCGACGGACAGGCGGCGGCGAAACGGGCAACGGAUCGGGACCGCGGCGGGCCCGGAAGCGAGACACACCAGGGCGCGGCCCCGGGAGGCAGCAGACGGCGAGCGGACUGAGGCGGACGGACAGACGGAGAGGGGCACCGACGGGGUGCGGCCACGCGAGGCCAACGCCACGGAACAGGGGCGGUGUUGGUGGGGCGGCCGCGCGCCACCGCGAGGGGCAUGGCUCAAAGCGACCCGUGCUGGGGCAGGGGGAAGCGCGAGUCGGCCGCCAGGGCCCACCGCGGGAUCUCACCGCCAGAGGCCUCCCAGCACAGGGACGGUCCCACCGCACGCCCGGGACGACGGACUGGCGCCCCCCCGGCACCCUCACGGGGGCUCACGCCCACCGCCACCGACACACACCCGAGAGCCGCAAGCCGGCCAGGGAGAACGCUCUCCCGCCGCGCACCGGCGGCCCCCACCGUCCCCCACACGCGCAAGGCUCCCCGCGCGCCGCCCCGCCUCGGGGACGCCACCGGCCAACGGAGGCCGGGGGACGACACCCACAUGAGGCGAGGCCGGCUCGGCCCCAGACAGGGGAAGGGAGCGCGGGGCGGUCGCACGCGCGGGACGAGGAGGAGAGGCCGGCAACGGCGGGGAGGGGCCGGCAAGCACGCACGGCGGGGGCCGCGGGACAGGGCCGCGGGCGCCAUCCGGGGACCACAAAGACACCGGGAACACGGCCGGGCCACCAGGAAAACCAGCGCGGGGUCCCACCGCCACCCACACACGAGGGCGGUCCCGCGACACGCCUGGGACGCCGACCGGUCCCGGCCAGCCCCAGAGCGGGCCCCCACGACCCGGCCCCGCCGCCAGGGCCGGCGAGCCGCCCGAACCCAUCUUCCGCCAUCCGUCCUCGACAGAUCCGUCUUCCGAUCUCAGUCUGCCACCCCGAGGCUCGACAUCCUGGGGAUCACGCUCUCGAGCGAGGCGGCCCCGACCGUGACCGCACGCCGCCACCGGCUGCGGCUCGUGGGGAGAGGACGGGCGCGAUAGGCUCUCCCGCACCACAGCUGCGGGGCUGGGGAAGCCGGGGCCGACCGGACGUCGCGCCCCCAACACCUUCCCCCCUUUGCCCCAAGGCUCACCACACCGCGGGGGCCGACCGCGCGCACACGCGACGCACGCACGCUCCGGUCCCCCCCACCUGCCGGACGCCCGGCGGGGCCCAGCGGGACCCUCCCCCAACUCGAAGGGGGGAGGCGCGGGCCGCGGUAGGCAACGAGCGGCACACGGCCCCACCGCGGGGCCGGCGCACCCGCCCCCGCCCCACCGCCCCCAGGGGGGAGGUGGGGGGCGGGAUGUUCUGCCCACGCGCUCUUGGCAGCCUCCACGGCGGCCACUGCGCACUCGGGAGGGGCAGCAGCUGGGGGGUCCGAUACCCCAAGGCUCCCUCUCGGAUCGCUAGAGAAGGCUUUCUCACCGAGGGCUCGCCGCCCCUCACCCGGAUCGUCUCUCUCCUUCGGGCCCACGGAGGCGCUCCACGAGCCACCAGUCCUCAGCUGGGGUGGGAGCCCACUCACGGGACACACACACACCACCGCGGUGGGGACCCGAGGAGGACACCGGGGUUAAGGGAAACGACACCACCGCUCGGCCUCAGGCACCUGAGCGACGACCUGGAGCGCUCCAGGAGCACCACCGAGGAUCCAACGAGGCACGCUCGCGCACCCACGCGGGGGGGCACAGCGCAGCAGCGGUACAGCCCUCCCCACCGCGGGGAGGGCCGCUCGCGGAGCACACGCCGGGAAGGCGAAGCGAGAGCAUCUGCUGUGUCAGAAGACCCACGGCCCCCACUGACGCCACCCGAGGCGGGGGACAGGAGACCGAAGGUCAGGGCCAGAGGCCGCAACCCAGCCCCCGCCUUCCUCCCCCUCCCCGACGGCCAGGGGGAAAAAGUCAGGCGAGGGGCCCCGCGGACAGACCGAGAAGAGCAGACACGUUCACCGGGAACACCUGUCCCUCGUCUGGCACGGCUUAGGCCCGGCCCGGGAGAGCACGACCACACCACAUCGAUCGGAUGA